AAUUCGGAAAUUUAUUACACUUUGGCAUACCUUGGUAUACUUUGGCACACUCUGGCACACUUUGGCACAUUUUGACACACAUGGGUUUUUCGGAAAUUGAGGACUUUUUGCACGAAAUUUGGAAAACUUGUAUUCCCGACGGAUUCCUCUGUUGAGGCAUGUUUUUCCAAAAUUUGCGGCGGACAGCAGCUUUAAGGCAAUUAUGGGCAAUUCUUAAUUAAUAUUGUAAAAGUACUAAGUAUUUAAAGCUGCUUGUAGUACAUGAGUUUAAAUUUUUGUAUUAACUGUAACGAGUACUUGUGACUCAGUGGUAGACCUUCAGCUUACUAACCCAAAGGAUCCGGGUUCAAGUCUUACCGACGCUAGAAUUUUUUUUUUUUUAAUAAAUUAUUUAUUGUUACGUUCUAUAACUGGGACUUCAAGCUCCACGCGUGCCGUCGAUAUGACGGCAUCGUGCAGUGGCAAUGUUUUGGCGCACGGGCGGCGGGAUAUAUCUCACUUUACCGAAGUGUGCCAAAGUGUGCCAAAGUGUGCCAAAGUGUGCCAAAAUGUGCCAUAGUGUGCCAUGCUGUGUCAUACCGUGCCAAACUGUGCUAUACUGUGCCAUACUUUGUCAAAAAAGAAAUGUUUGUAUCCGAAAAACCCAUUUGUGUCAAAGUGUGCCAAAGUGUGCCAAAGUGCAGCAAAUUUCCGAAUUUGAACACUUUGGCACAGUGUGGUACACUUUAGCACACUUUGGAACACUUUGGCACACUUUGACACACUUUAGCAUACUUUGGAACACUUUGGCACACCCAAUUAUUUCCACUAGGGAUCCCCGUUAUUUUAUGAAGUAAAUCGGUGAGAAUCCUUUUUUUAUACGCAUAUGAAAGAAAACAUCGAUUUACUAUGUAUAUGUUACAAUACAAAUAAUACUAAAAAUUAGAGCAUAUAUGCCCCGAUCAAAUAUCAGGAAACUAAUAGCACAUACUUAUUUGGAACGGAUUAAUGUAAUAUUUAUUCCCGUUAUUUUAUAAAGUAAAUAGUUGGAAAACCUCUUUCGAUAAACACAAAAACGAACUCAUCGAUUUACUUUGUACAUUUACCUAUACUGAUAUUACUAAACCGAGCGUGUCCCACUCGUAUGUUAUGUAACCCAACAACAUACGGUUACUUUGAGCGAUCAACAUAAUUCUUGUAUCCCCGUUAUUUUAUGAAGUAAAUCGGUGAGAAUCCUUUUUUUAUACGCAUAUGAAAGAACACAUCGAUUUACUAUGUAUAUGUUACAAUACAAAUAAUACUAAAAAUUAGACCAUAUAUAUCCCGAUCAAAUAUCAGGAAACUAAUAGCACAUACUUAUUUGGAACGGAUUAAUGUAAUUUUUAUUCCCAUUAUUUUAUAAAGUAAAUCGUUGGAAAACCUCUUUCGAUAAGCACAAAAACGAACUCAUCGAUUUACUUUGUACAUUUACCUAUAUUGAUGUUACUAAACCGAGCGUGUCCCACUUGUAUCAAUAUAAUUUAAUGUCUAUUAGUUCGUCAAGUUAAUCGAUGAAAAGCCUUCUUCAAUAAGCGGACAAAUGAACCCAUAGAUUCACAGAUUCACUUUUCUAUAGAUCAUAAUAUUAAUUGCCGAGCACAUAUGUAGACCGUUACUCGGUAUACGUUAUUCUCGCGAAAUACACGCUGGAAGCUACUUCCCUAUGAAAAAUAAAGUACUCUAUGGAAAAUAGUUUUGUUUCAUGCUGCUAUUGUAGAGCCAUAGAAUUUGAGAAUUUCGUAUUGGAAAUUUUUGUAUAAUCUUUCAGGAGGAAGAAUUGCUGUCAUGUCUCGCAUACCAAUAGACGAAUUUGGUUUAGAGAGUAGCAAACAUUUGCAAGAAAUUCUUAAAAUAUCAAAAACACACGAUAAACACGUUUAUACUUUUUAAAGAGAGAAUAGAAAUCGUAUUUUUCUAUUACUUGAUAAACACCAAAGACAUUCCAGCAGUUAAAGAGAAAUCGGAAACAAACUGUUAAACGUUUUUUGUAAAGUUAUUACACGUUCUACUAAGUUGCCUCAAUCAAAUAUGUUUAACAAAACAUAAUAUCUAAUUGUUAGAUAUGAAAAAUAUGACAAGAACACAGUAUUUUCUUAUUUUAUUAAACUCUGUAUAGUUUAACGAGAAAACUACUUAUAUUCAUUUGGUAAAAAAAAUAGGCAAUUUAAUUUAUUUUAUAUUAUAAUAUAUAUAAUGAGCGAUCAAACUAUGUAUAGUACUAGCUGUACUAAAUGUUCUUGUUGAAAUUCACGAAUACUAAUUUAUCAAAACAAUGGUGCCUAUAUUAAAUUGUGAUGGUUUAAUGAUUUUUUCAUACUCUUUUACAAUUAAAACUUGGUUGAUCAUUUAUGCACUUAUUGUGUCUAUAGGUUUUUUAAUUCUUAAAGGAUGUGCAUUUGACAAGGAUUAUUUUUUUACUACUUUUGUUUUAUCUAUGGUUAAUACACUCGGUACAAAACUUAUUUUUUCACUAUUAUAUGGAAUGAUGGUUAAUAAUGUAUGUACAAAUAUAUUUGAUUCUCAAGUUAAUAGUUGUAAAAAAGGGAUAGUUAGUUGAAGUAUGGAGAUCACAAACGAACAAUAAAAUUUAUAUAAAACUGAA
rnacentral:lncRNA from 1 species